rnacentral:rRNA from 1 species
CCCUUAGACGUUCUGGGCCGCACGCGCGCUACACUGACCAGUGCAACAAGCAUCCGUCCUUGGCCGACAGGCCCGGGCAAUCUUUGAACGCUGGUCGUGAUGGGGAUAGACUUUUGCAAUUUUUGGUCUUCAACGAGGAAUUCCUAGUAAACGCAGGUCAUCAACUUGCAUUGAUUACGUCCCUGCCCUUUGUACACACCGCCCGUCGCACCUACCGAUUGAAUGGUCCGGUGAAGCCUCCGGAUUGGCGCGCACCUCGGUGCCGCCGAGAAGUUGGCUAAACCUUACCAUUUAGAGGAAGGUGAANUCGUAACA